rnacentral:rRNA from 1 species
UACGUAGGGGGCUAGCGUUGUCCGGAUUUAUUGGGCGUAAAGAGCGUGUAGGCGGCCAGGUAGGUCUGCUGUGAAAACCCGAGGCUCAACCUCGGGCCUGCAGUGGGUACGGGCAGACUAGAGUGCGGUAGGGGAGAUUGGAAUUCCUGGUGUAGCGGUGGAAUGCGCAGAUAUCAGGAGGAACACCAAUGGCGAAGGCAGAUCUCUGGGCCGUAACUGACGCUGAGGAGCGAAAGCAUGGGGAGCGAACAGG